CUUUAUCAUAGAAAGACGGAAGCAUAGGGAUUAAAAUACUCUCUACACAGCUUCCUAUAACAUCAUGCUGUUACGAAUGGCCAACCCAGAACUUCCCCAAUCUUUAACAGGAGGUACUCAGUUUGAAACUUGGGUUAAGGAAGAUGGGCCUUGUGCGGUGUUUAUAAGUGUCUCGUGAUACUUAUUUAUAUUUGGUUGAACAUGUUCUGUGUAGUUUCGUCUUUGGAGAAUAUUAAUAUUUUUACCGGAUAAUUUCAGAGACUUCAAAGCUGAACUGUGCUUCAUUUUCUGUGGUCAUGGCUUCAAUUGGAGUACAAAGAGCAUUUAGUAUACCCCCAUCAAAUGGCAUAAGGUGAUUAAGGAUUUUUGCAUAGGAAAAUAUUUGAAACUGUAGCAACAGGUUUGAUUUCAAAACCGGAACUUUACUAUAUCAGGAUUAUUAAUUGUCAGAGCUCAUAUGAAAAUAUCUCUGGUAAAAAGCCUCAUCUGGACACAGCUGUCUGCUUGCAUUAAAUUCCCAAGUGACAAAAUCAAAUUUAACCUCUUUAGAUGGUCCAACAAUGAGCAGCCUUUUUGGAAUUUCUGAGUCAUAACUGAAUUGGAUAGCUUAGCUUGACUUGUUUAGUUAAGAGUCUUCAUUCGAUUUUUGUGAAUUGGAGGUAUGGCAACUAUAGAAACAGGUGGGAGAAUACAGCUGAGUAAUUGGAACAACUUGGAAAAGGAUGUGCAGACCCCAGGAGAACGAGAAGGAUGUACCUUGUGGAGGGUGUGGGCCCCACAACCUCUAUCUCAUUUUGGGCUCAUCAUUUCUCUAACCCCACCAAGGCUCUCAAGUAAUCGGACCUGCUUUUAAAGUUCUUUAUAGUUAUCGGAAUUCUAGUUAUCUGAAUAAGGGAUCUUAAGAGUAACGAUCCGAUAUCUUCCAACUAGAAUCCCUCUUUUUUUCGAUCCAGUUCCUCCACCACCGCGAACCCCAUCAUAUCAUUGUAGCAACUGAAUUUUUUUUGCAUAAACAAAAUAAAAAUCAACCUGAUUCUAAAUUGUGAAGCGACCCUUGGGCUUUCUACCUCCACGUGGCAUUGCUCUCUUUCGGAUCCCAGAAACAACUCUCAGAGAUCUUUUUGCCUUUUGGAAGAUGCAAGAGGGAAACAAUCAACCUGUUACGUCAGUUUGAUUACUCGAAGACACUUGGCCUCAUAUCAUAUCAUGAAUUGAGUCUGGUUUUGAUAUUAACUGUAAUGAAUCUGUGUGUUUCUCAACUCGAUUCAAAAUUUUAAGUUAUCAUGUAAAGUUACUCAAUUCAUAUUGUAUUCAAUCACUUUUUCAUUUGUUUCAAUUCAAUGUGGGACAAGAUUCCCU